rnacentral:rRNA from 1 species
UACGAAGGGGGAGCUAGCGUUACUCGGAAUUACUGGGCGUAAAGCGUGCGUAGGCGGUUUGUUAAGUCCGCUGUGAAAGCCCUGGGCUCAACCUGGGAAUUGCAGUGGAUACUGGCAAGCUAGAGUGCGGUAGAGGAUGGUGGAAUUCCCGGGUGUAGCGGUGAAAUGCGCAGGAUAUCAGGAGGAACACCGGUGGCGAAGGCGGUUCUCGUGGGCCUGUACUGACGCUGAGGAGCGAAAGCCAGGGGAGCAAACGGG